rnacentral:lncRNA from 1 species
GGAAACCAUAGGCCCAGCCGGCCCUCUGUUUCCAGACUCCUGUCUUAUAACUGAGCCUGAAGAAGCUGUCCCCAGGUCUGGGCCUCUUGCGGGCACUGCCAGCCUCAGAGCCGCUCUGCAGUUUCCAGCCCUGACAGGGACUCUUUCUUUCUCUCCAGGCCACAGCUUAAGUUUCUGGCAAUGUCUGAGAGAAGAAAAGAUUCUCUCUCCUACUCUUGGAGGACAAGAAGUCUUUCGAAGAUGCUGGGGUGGCAAUGAAGUCGGGCAGAAUUCUGAGGCCCUUUAAGUCCUGCAAAAGAAAUAGAAAAUGUGAUUCCCUACUCAAAGAG